rnacentral:rRNA from 1 species
UUAAGCGACUAAGCGUACACGGUGGAUGCCCUGGCAGUCAGAGGCGAUGAAGGACGUGCUAAUCUGCGAUAAGCGUCGGUGAGGUGAUAUGAACCGUUAUAACCGGCGAUUUCCGAAUGGGGAAACCCAGUGUGAUUCGUCACACUAUCAUUAACUGAAUCCAUAGGUUAAUGAGGCGAACCGGGGGAACUGAAACAUCUAAGUACCCCGAGGAAAAGAAAUCAACCGAGAUUCCCCCAGUAGCGGCGAGCGAACGGGGAGGAGCCCAGAGCCUGAAUCAGUGUGUGUGUUAGUGGAAGCGUCUGGAAAGGCGCGCGAUACAGGGUGACAGCCCCGUACACAAAAAUGCAUAUACUGUGAGCUCGAUGAGUAGGGCGGGACACGUGGUAUCCUGUCUGAAUAUGGGGGGACCAUCCUCCAAGGCUAAAUACUCCUGACUGACCGAUAGUGAACCAGUACCGUGAGGGAAAGGCGAAAAGAACCCCGGCGAGGGGAGUGAAAAAGAACCUGAAACCGUGUACGUACAAGCAGUGGGAGCCUCUUAAUGGGGUGACUGCGUACCUUUUGUAUAAUGGGUCAGCGACUUAUAUUCUGUAGCAAGGUUAACCGAAUAGGGGAGCCGAAGGGAAACCGAGUCUUAACUGGGCGUUAAGUUGCAGGGUAUAGACCCGAAACCCGGUGAUCUAGCCAUGGGCAGGUUGAAGGUUGGGUAACACUAACUGGAGGACCGAACCGACUAAUGUUGAAAAAUUAGCGGAUGACUUGUGGCUGGGGGUGAAAGGCCAAUCAAACCGGGAGAUAGCUGGUUCUCCCCGAAAGCUAUUUAGGUAGCGCCUCGUGAAUUCAUCUCCGGGGGUAGAGCACUGUUUCGGCAAGGGGGUCAUCCCGACUUACCAACCCGAUGCAAACUGCGAAUACCGGAGAAUGUUAUCACGGGAGACACACGGCGGGUGCUAACGUCCGUCGUGAAGAGGGAAACAACCCAGACCGCCAGCUAAGGUCCCAAAGUCAUGGUUAAGUGGGAAACGAUGUGGGAAGGCCCAGACAGCCAGGAUGUUGGCUUAGAAGCAGCCAUCAUUUAAAGAAAGCGUAAUAGCUCACUGGUCGAGUCGGCCUGCGCGGAAGAUGUAACGGGGCUAAACCAUGCACCGAAGCUGCGGCAGCGACACUAUGUGUUGUUGGGUAGGGGAGCGUUCUGUAAGCCUGUGAAGGUGGCCUGUGAGGGUUGCUGGAGGUAUCAGAAGUGCGAAUGCUGACAUAAGUAACGAUAAAGCGGGUGAAAAGCCCGCUCGCCGGAAGACCAAGGGUUCCUGUCCAACGUUAAUCGGGGCAGGGUGAGUCGACCCCUAAGGCGAGGCCGAAAGGCGUAGUCGAUGGGAAACAGGUUAAUAUUCCUGUACUUGGUGUUACUGCGAAGGGGGGACGGAGAAGGCUAUGUUGGCCGGGCGACGGUUGUCCCGGUUUAAGCGUGUAGGCUGGUUUUCCAGGCAAAUCCGGAAAAUCAAGGCUGAGGCGUGAUGACGAGGCACUACGGUGCUGAAGCGACAAAUGCCCUGCUUCCAGGAAAAGCCUCUAAGCAUCAGGUAACAUUAAAUCGUACCCCAAACCGACACAGGUGGUCAGGUAGAGAAUACCAAGGCGCUUGAGAGAACUCGGGUGAAGGAACUAGGCAAAAUGGUGCCGUAACUUCGGGAGAAGGCACGCUGAUAUGUAGGUGAAGCGACUUGCUCGUGGAGCUGAAAUCAGUCGAAGAUACCAGCUGGCUGCAACUGUUUAUUAAAAACACAGCACUGUGCAAACACGAAAGUGGACGUAUACGGUGUGACGCCUGCCCGGUGCCGGAAGGUUAAUUGAUGGGGUUAGCGGCAACGCGAAGCUCUUGAUCGAAGCCCCGGUAAACGGCGGCCGUAACUAUAACGGUCCUAAGGUAGCGAAAUUCCUUGUCGGGUAAGUUCCGACCUGCACGAAUGGCGUAAUGAUGGCCAGGCUGUCUCCACCCGAGACUCAGUGAAAUUGAACUCGCUGUGAAGAUGCAGUGUACCCGCGGCAAGACGGAAAGACCCCGUGAACCUUUACUAUAGCUUGACACUGAACAUUGAGCCUUGAUGUGUAGGAUAGGUGGGAGGCUUUGAAGUGUGGACGCCAGUCUGCAUGGAGCCGACCUUGAAAUACCACCCUUUAAUGUUUGAUGUUCUAACGUGGGCCCGUAAUCCGGGUUGCGGACAGUGUCUGGUGGGUAGUUUGACUGGGGCGGUCUCCUCCUAAAGAGUAACGGAGGAGCACGAAGGUUGGCUAAUCCUGGUCGGACAUCAGGAGGUUAGUGCAAUGGCAUAAGCCAGCUUGACUGCGAGCGUGACGGCGCGAGCAGGUGCGAAAGCAGGUCAUAGUGAUCCGGUGGUUCUGAAUGGAAGGGCCAUCGCUCAACGGAUAAAAGGUACUCCGGGGAUAACAGGCUGAUACCGCCCAAGAGUUCAUAUCGACGGCGGUGUUUGGCACCUCGAUGUCGGCUCAUCACAUCCUGGGGCUGAAGUAGGUCCCAAGGGUAUGGCUGUUCGCCAUUUAAAGUGGUACGCGAGCUGGGUUUAGAACGUCGUGAGACAGUUCGGUCCCUAUCUGCCGUGGGCGCUGGAGAACUGAGGGGGGCUGCUCCUAGUACGAGAGGACCGGAGUGGACGCAUCACUGGUGUUCGGGUUGUCAUGCCAAUGGCACUGCCCGGUAGCUAAAUGCGGAAGAGAUAAGUGCUGAAAGCAUCUAAGCACGAAACUUGCCCCGAGAUGAGUUCUCCCUGACCCUUUAAGGGUCCUGAAGGAACGUUGAAGACGACGACGUUGAUAGGCCGGGUGUGUAAGCGCAGCGAUGCGUUGAGCUAACCGGUACUAAUGAACCGUGAGGCUUAACCUU